GGAUCCAGACUUUGAUUAUGGCUCAGGACGAACGCUGGCGGCGUGCCUAACACAUGCAAGUCGAACGGAGUGUUGCGCUGAAAUUGAGAUUAGCUUGCUAAAGGAAAUUUCUUGUAACACUUAGUGGCGGACGGGUGAGUAACGCGUGAGGAACCUGCCUUACAGAGGGGGACAACAGUUGGAAACGACUGCUAAUACCGCAUAAUGUGGAGGGGAGACAUCUCCCUUUCACCAAAGGAGUAAUCCGCUGUAAGAUGGCCUCGCGUCUGAUUAGAUAGUUGGUGGGGUAACGGCCCACCAAGUCGACGAUCAGUAGCCGGACUGAGAGGUUGAACGGCCACAUUGGGACUGAGACACGGCCCAGACUCCUACGGGAGGCAGCAGUGGGGGAUAUUGCACAAUGGAGGAAACUCUGAUGCAGCAACGCCGCGUGAGGGAAGAAGGUUUUCGGAUUGUAAACCUCUGUUUUUAGUGAAGAAACAAAUGACGGUAGCUAAAGAGGAAGCCACGGCUAACUACGUGCCAGCAGCCGCGGUAAUACGUAGGUGGCAAGCGUUGUCCGGAAUUACUGGGUGUAAAGGGUGCGCAGGCGGGAUUGCAAGUUGGAUGUGAAAUACCGGGGCUUAACCCCGGAGCUGCAUCCAAAACUGUAGUUCUUGAGUGGAGUAGAGGUAAGCGGAAUUCCGAGUGUAGCGGUGAAAUGCGUAGAUAUUCGGAGGAACACCAGUGGCGAAGGCGGCUUACUGGGCUCUAACUGACGCUGAGGCACGAAAGCAUGGGUAGCAAACAGGAUUAGAUACCCUGGUAGUCCAUGCUGUAAACGAUGAAUGCUAGGUGUGGGGGGACUGACCCCUUCCGUGCCGGAGUAAACACAAUAAGCAUUCCACCUGGGGAGUACGACCGCAAGGU
rnacentral:rRNA from 1 species